rnacentral:misc_RNA from 1 species
CUAUUACGCAUGUAAACCUACAGUCUUGAAAACUCGCAUCGUGCCGAUUUCCUAACGUUUGCGGCGCGCUUGAGCAACAGCGGAGACGCCUCACGCAUGCCGGCACCGCUUUGCUCACUAUAAGCCGUAAUCAAGAUGCCCACGAAGACACGUCACUGCCGAACUUGCGGUCUAAGCUUGUAACAGCACCGACGACGGGCUUUCGAUGACACAGCUGGCUUUCGCAUGUUAUAUGAGUAGCGCAGAAACCGUCAUAGCCGCUCCUUUUAUUUAUUCCUGGCUUCGGUGCUUCGCUUUACGAGGCGCCCCUGCGCGACGAUGCUUGUUUUCUGCGUGGCCAAGUCGUCGGUGGGUCGUGCGUAAACUUCUGACGGCUGUUCAGCGAGCGGAUAUCUCUUGCACCUUAGCGCUCUCCCCCUGCUUGUUCCGCCACGCCAUGAGUCGCUUCGGGCGCCAACAGUACUGGUGGCUCUUCGUCGCCACCACUGUCUGUCUGCACGUCUUUGGGUUGUGCUUGGCCGAAAACAGGGAGGAGAGAAACCUCGACAGCACAGGUUCCAUUGUUGAUGUAAACAAGCUUUCGAAAGUUCUUUCGGAUAUCGCCUAUGCUGGAAAGACAGUUAAAGAUGCUUUGUCGAAAGCGUGGCAAAGUGUGUCCAAGCUAAAGAUCUUCCAAAGGAAACACAAGAAAGUGCUGGAGCCCAUCGUUCCUGCAGAGCCAUGAAUGCAAGCGAGCAGAAAUAAACUUCGAGG